UACAGGGGGUGCAAACGUUGCUCGGAAUCUUGGGCGUAAAGCGCACGUAGGCGGUUCGUUAUGUCGGAUGUGAAAGCCCUUGGCUUAACCGAGGAAGUGCAUCCGAAACUGGCGAGCUAGAGUACGAAAGAGGAUCGCGGAAUUCCCGGUGUAGAGGUGAAAUUCGUAGAUAUCAGGAGGAACACCGGUGGCGAAGGCGGGUCUCUGGGCAGUAACUGACGCUGAGGAGCGAAAGCGUGGGGAGCGAACAGG
rnacentral:rRNA from 1 species